CCUACGGGAGGCAGCAGUGAGGAAUAUUGGUCAAUGGGCGGAAGCCUGAACCAGCCAAGUAGCGUGCAGGAUGACGGCCCUACGGGUUGUAAACUGCUUUUAUACGGGAAUAACGUGCCUUACGUGUGGGGCUUUCCAUGUUCCGCAUAGAUAAGGCCCGGCGAAUUCCCGUCCCGCCACCGCGGGAAGUCGGGAGGUCCGGGGGUUUUCCGGGUUUUUUUGGGUUAAAAGGGUCGUAGGCCGCAUGGUCAGGGUGCUGGGAAAUGUCGGGGCUCAAACCGGGCCCUGCAGCUGGAACUGGCGGUCGUGAGUCCGCGGAAAGCAGGCGGAAUGCGUGGUGUAGCGGUGAAAUGCUUAGAUAUGACGAAGAACCCCGAUUGCGAAGGCAGCUUGCUGCAGCGCAACUGACGCUGAAGCUCGAAAGCGUGGGUAUCGAACAGGAUUAGAUACCCGUGUAGUC
rnacentral:rRNA from 1 species